CAGCUUGUUGACGGCUCUGCAGAAUUUGGACUCGUGCACUCCCGCAGUUGCGGAUGUCCAAGAAAAAUGACAACUUUGGCUCCAUGGAAGAAUGGAGAGCUAUGAAGGAACAAAAAUCCCCCAGUCUUCCAACAACUGCUGGCUCAGGUAUGUGUGAGGCUGGGAAGUGUCUGUGGGAUGAUUCCUCUGAGAAUUAUGCGGAGCUGACAAGACUGAAAUCCACGGCCAAACUAGAAAAGGAUGG